UACGUAGGGUGCGAGCGUUGUCCGGAAUUAUUGGGCGUAAAGAGCUCGUAGGCGGUGUGUCGCGUCGGCCGUGAAAACCUGCAGCUUAACUGUGGGCUUGCGGUCGAUACGGGCAUCACUGGAGUUCGGCAGGGGAGACUGGAAUUCCUGGUGUAGCGGUGAAAUGCGCAGAGUAUCAGGAGGAACACCGGUGGCGAAGGCGGGU
rnacentral:rRNA from 1 species